rnacentral:rRNA from 1 species
UACGUAGGGGGCAAGCGUUGUCCGGAUUCAUUGGGCGUAAAGCGCGUGUAGGCGGCCAGGUAGGUCGGUUGUGAAAACUGGAGGCUCAACCUUCAGAGGUCGACCGAAACCAUCUGGCUAGAGUCCGGGAGAGGAGAGUGGAAUUCCUGGUGUAGCGGUGAAAUGCGCAGAUAUCAGGAAGAACACCCGUGGCGAAAGCGGCUCUCUGGAACGGUACUGACGCUGAGACGCGAAAGCGUGGGGAGCGAACAGG